UCUAAUGGCAUACCUAUGUAAUUA
rnacentral:siRNA from 1 species